CCUGUGUCGCACGGGCCAGUCAACCUCUGCCGACGAAUUCCGAGCGGGUGGCAUGCGCUGAGAAAUCAUGCGGCGGUUCCAAAAGUCGCAUGUUCUUGUCUCCAAGCUCCACUUGUGUUCGACCGAAGGAAGACGCCGAGGACGCAAUGAAGAACUUUCUGGAUAUCUUUAGAGGGAUCUUCUGAGUUGGUCAAUUGAUUUUGAAACGUCUGAUCGCGGUGUUCUAGUAAAAUUGCGUCACUUAUAUUCUUUACGGAUGAUCACAACAGUAAUUUCCGUGCCUGCAACACAACUUGUAUAUCUUCUUGGUUCUUUCGGUAAAGUCACGUAGAAGGGAAGUAGUAAAAUAAUAAAAAUAAAACAUAAUAAAACAAUUCUCACGACGUUU